GAUGAACGCUGGCGGCGUGCUUAACACGUGCAAGUCGAACGAAGCACUUUUGAUUCUUCGGAAAAGAAAGUGACUGAGUGGCGGACGGGUGAGUAACGCGUGGGUAACCUGCCUUAUACAGGGGGAUAACAGUUAGAAAUGACUGCUAAUACCGCAUAAGCCAGCAGGGCCGCAUGGCCUGGCUGGAAAAGAUUCAUCGGUAUAAGAUGGGCCCGCGUCUGAUUAGCUGGUUGGUGGGGUAACAGCCUACCAAGGCAACGAUCAGUAGCCGGCUUGAGAGAGUGAACGGCCACAUUGGGACUGAGACACGGCCCAAACUCCUACGGGAGGCAGCAGUGGGGAAUAUUGCACAAUGGGGGAAACCCUGAUGCAGCAACGCCGCGUGAAGGAAGAAGUAUUUCGGUAAGUAAACUUCUAUCAGCAGGAAAGAAAAUGACGGUACCUGACUAAGAAGCCCCGGCUAACUACGUGCCAGCAGCCGCAGUAACAC
rnacentral:rRNA from 1 species